rnacentral:rRNA from 1 species
CAAAAUGACUCUCGACAACGGAUAUCUCGGCUCUUGCAUCGAUGAAGAACGUAGCGAAAUGCGAUACGUGGUGUGAAUUGCAGAAUCCCGUGAACCAUCGAGUUUUUGAACGCAAGUUGCGCCCAAAGCCUUUUGGUUGAGGGCACGUCUGCCUGGGU